rnacentral:rRNA from 1 species
CCUACGGGAGGCAGCAGUAGGGAAUCUUCCACAAUGGACGAAAGUCUGAUGGAGCAACGCCGCGUGCAGGAUGAAGGCCUUAGGGUUGUAAACUGCUUUUGUCUAUGAAGCGGUAAUAGACGAAUAAGGGUCUGCUAACUACGUGCCAGCAGCCGCGGUCAUACGUAGGACCCAAGCGUUAUCCGGAAUUACUGGGCGUAAAGAGUGCGUAGGUGGCAAUGUAAGUAGAUAGUGAAAUCCUAGGGCUCAACCCUUUCAACAUUAUCUAAACUACAUAGCUUGAGUAUGGGAGAGGUAGAUGGAAUUUCUAGUGUAGGAGUGAAAUCCGUAGAUAUUAGAAGGAACACCGAUGGCGUAAGCAGUCUACUGGCCUUACUGACACUAAGGCACGAAAGCGUGGGGAGCGAACGGGAUUAGAUACCCUUGUAGUC